GAUGAACGCUGGCGGCGUGCCUAAUACAUGCAAGUCGAGCGAACGGACGAGAAGCUUGCUUCUCUGAUGUUAGCGGCGGACGGGUGAGUAACACGUGGAUAACCUACCUAUAAGACUGGGAUAACUUCGGGAAACCGGAGCUAAUACCGGAUAAUAUUUUGAACCGCAUGGUUCAACAGUGAAAGACGGUCUUGCUGUCACUUAUAGAUGAAUCCGCGCUGCAUUAGCUAGUUGGUAAGGUAACGGCUUACCAAGGCAACGAUGCAUAGCCGACCUGAGAGGGUGAUCGGCUACACUGGAACUGAGACACGGUCCAGACUCCUACGGGAGGCAGCAGUAGGGAAUCUUCCGCAAUGGGCGAAAGCCUGACGGAGCAACGCCGCGUGAGUGAUGAAGGUCUUCGGAUCGUAAAACUCUGUUAUUAGGGAAGAACAUAUGUGUAAGUAACUGUGCACAUCUUGACGGUACCUAAUCAGAAAGCCACGGCUAACUACGUG
rnacentral:rRNA from 1 species